rnacentral:lncRNA from 1 species
AGGAAUAAUGCCUAAAAACCUAGGGACAAUUCAAUCAGCGCCGGAAUUCACCAAACCCCCCUCUCCAUCGUCUUCUUCAGAAGACAGAAACCAAACCAACCUUGAUCCACCCAUGUCGACCUUCUUCUUCAGAAGAAAACGAAGCGGCUUUCGAUGGCUUCUUUCUAAACACCCUUGAGCUUCUUCUUCUUCCUUUUUCAUGUAAGACACAACCCUAAAACUCUAGGCAGCCACCACCACAAUGCCGAACACCCCUCCGCCCACUAUUCUCCAUAGUUGUCGAGCUUCGUCACCAUCACAAACAAGAAACUAGCACACACACAAGAGCGCAACAACCAAACACACGCCCCCACCCCAUCUCUCACAAUAACCAGUAGCGAGAACACAAAUAACCCCACCCUAUCAACUCAUUUAUUUCAACAACAACAGCCACCGAUCUCUCUUUUGUUUUGAAGAGAAGAUCAGUCCCGAUUCUGUCCGUUGUUGGGUCUGCCGGCAUCGAUUUGAAGUGAGACUAGUUUCAAAGUCACCGCUGGUCGAGUCGCUAGUUUGAGGCUUUGUUCGAGUUUUCUUCUGGUUCGUUUGGCACUGCUUGGUUUCAUUUUGUUCUAGGAGAGUGAUUAUUAAGCUGUAUCCAUUUCAUGAAGAAGUUUGUCUUCUCAGAUUAUUGACAGAAUUCCCAUAUGAAAGGUUCAUUUCCUUUAAUCUAUUGUUGGUCUUAGAUAAUUGCUUCUGUUGGUAUAGUUUCUGUCUGAAUAUUCCAUUAUUUGACUUUGUUUGUUUGAUCCAUAUGCGUUGAUUGCUGAAUUAAUGUAUCAUUGAAACCUUGAAUUGAAACAGCUAUGCUGAAUUGGAAUUUUCUCCAUGUGCGUCGGGCUGGUUCAUGCUAUGCUAGAUUCAUUGGGUUUGAAACUUUGAAUUGAAAUUGACUUCUGGGUUUUGCUUGUUGAGCCAUGAUGUGAUAGCGUGAUACUUGCUAUGGUGUUUUUGUGGUAAUCAAAAGAGCCUUCGUAUUUUGUUCAUGUAGUUUCUAAAUACUUAGCGUGAUGAGAAUUUUCCAUUGUUGUUUUUUUUUUGUAAAUGUUCUAAUUAUAUAUUAAGUUCAAGGUUGGUCGUCUGCUUCUUCAUAUCUUGUUUGGCAGAACUUUGAUCCAAAAUCCAUGGCUCUUGGCUUUCACGUUUGAUUCCCACAUUUAGUAAAAUAAUUCAUAAAUGUGCCUAGUUUGCUUUAGGCACGUUAAUUAUAUAAUUAUCACGGCUAUUACUAAAGUUCGGGUGUGUAUUUCAUGUGACCCGAUUCUAAUUUCUAACAAGGUUAAAUAGAAUGUGUCGUGACUCACGAGUGCAUUUCAUGUAGCGUGGCUUGCGAUGUGUUUUAAAUAACCUUGAAUUUUCCUUAAUUAAAUAAAAGUGGUUUAAAAGUUAAAAAUGCACAUAGGUUUGAAAGUGUUCUAAAAUCAGAUAAAUAGGCCAAUAAUAAUAGUUGAGUGACCGUGCUAGAACCACGGAACCCGAAAAUGCCUAACACCUUCUCCCGGGUUAACAGAAAUCCUUAUCCGGAUUUCUGUGUUCGCGGACCGUAAAUCAGAGUCAAUCUUUCCUCGAUUCGGGAUUUAAAACCGGUGACUUGGGACACCAUAAAUUAUCCCAAGUGUCGACUCUGAACUAUAUAAAAAAUAAUCCCAUUUCGAUUGUCCUUUAAUUGGAAAAACUCCCUUUAUUCAUACCCUUCCGAGGUGUAAUAAAAAGGAGGUAUGACAGCUCUGGCGACUCUGCUGGGGAUCGAACCCAGAAUCUCUGGUUCAGGGUUCAAAAAUUCGAGCUUAGAAUAAUUGUUAUAGUUGGCUUUAUCCACUAUCUGAUUUUGUUACCUGAUUUGAGCUUAAUGUGCUAAUUGAUUGUUUUUACCGCUUUGAUAUUCCGUGAACUGUAUAUAAACUGUUGCGAAAUCCCUCUUCUCUCUGAGUCUUCUAAAUCAUGAAGAAGUGUGUACUUCGUGUGACUUCUUUUCUGUUAGAGUCAUAUUCCAAAUUUAGAACGAGGUUCGGACAAGUUGCAAAGCCGGUGAAGCUUCUGUGUUCCCGGUACGCUGCCCCCCCUCGGCUCGAGCUGUCCGCUCGGGUAAGCCAGGUCUAGAACAAAUAAACCCAGGUUUUAAACCUAGUAUAACAAUACCUCAUGNNNNNNNNNNNNNNNNNNNNNNNGCAUGCUAACCGGCUUAUGAAUAUUGGGAAAAGUUGAGGUAAGAGAAAUAGCAGUAUGAGAGUUAAUCGCCUAUUCUGAAAAAAAUCUAUGUCGAAAUAGUGCCGAAACUCUGCCGAAUUUUCGAGAACAUAAAAAGGGAAGAAAAAGGGGUUUUGUUUUCAAAAUAGUUUGUUUUAUUUACCAAUGAAAUGAAAAAAAAAAGUUGUUGUUUUCAAAAAAUUGUUUUCUUUGCCAAUGAAAUGAAAAAAAAGAAGAAGUCUUGCUUUCAAAAAAUAGUUUGUUUUGCUUGCCCGAACUACGCCAGUUUGAUUCUUACAGAGUGUGAGAUACGUAGGCAACCCCCAUCGGGUCCAACUUCCUUUUGCGAAAAUAGCCAGAAAAUUUUUACUUUAAUUUGAAAAUAAUUGGGGUGAUGCCAUUCUUGUCAGAAAUAGCCGAAUGUCCCUAAAAGAGCGCCAGAAGGCUGUUUUUUCAAGAACAACCACUUUUGUCACUGUUAAAGAUUUUGGAUGGUUAGCUGACAUAGCCUUAAAAUCUUCGUUUUGAAGUGCAAAGGCCAUGUCGGCAAGAUCGGAUGUUUUGGAGAAAGAUUUUGAAAAUUGAUCAUUUCUCUUAAGGCAAAACAAGUCAUGGUUUUCUUUUAAUUAAAAUUACCUUAAUAAAUGUGCAGGAUGAGCACAAA